AUGCAAGUCGAGGGGUAGAAGUCUUCGGACUUUGAGACCGGCGCACGGGUGCGUAACGCGUAUGCAAUCUACCUUUUACAGAGGGAUAGCCCAGAGAAAUUUGGAUUAAUACCUCAUAGUAUGGUACAGCCGCAUGGUUGCACCAUUAAAGUCACAACGGUAAAAGAUGAGCAUGCGUCCCAUUAGCUAGUUGGUAAGGUAACGGCUUACCAAGGCUACGAUGGGUAGGGGUCCUGAGAGGGAGAUCCCCCACACUGGUACUGAGACACGGACCAGACUCCUACGGGAGGCAGCAGUGAGGAAUAUUGGACAAUGGGCGCAAGCCUGAUCCAGCCAUGCCGCGUGCAGGAUGACGGUCCUAUGGAUUGUAAACUGCUUUUGCACAGGAAGAAACAACGCUACGUGUAGCGUCUUGACGGUACUGUGAGAAUAAGGAUCGGCUAACUCCGUGCCAGCAGCCGCGGUAAUACGGGGGAUCCAAGCGUUAUCCGGAAUCAUUGGGUUUAAAGGGUCCGUAGGCGGUUUGGUAAGUCA
rnacentral:rRNA from 1 species